GUUUCUGUGGUGUAGUGGUAUCACAUCCGCCUCAGAUGCGGAAGAUCCCAGAUUCGAACUCUACCAGAAGCG